CUGUGUUGCUGUGAUGGCGGCGGGAGGGCACCGAUGACAAAUCAGUGUUUACCUGCCCUGGCUGCUGCUGCCCGCAGUCCAGCCGGAGCUGCUGCCGCUGGCAUCUUCUGGUGGCCACGCCAUCGAGGUUCUACUGCCGGCCACCACUCUGAGCCGCUACUGCAUCGUGAGGAGAAGCACGAGGCUUUUUGCUAAUAACCAGAAUAAUCAGCAUACUGUUGAUAAAAGUGGGAACAUACUCCCUGGCACUAUUAUUGAAUCGAAGCUUUGCCAUCCGACAGAGUUUGAUUUCUAUUUGUGUAGUCAUGCUGGCAUUCAGCUGUAUGGUGUUGCAUGAUUGGAAGUUCUCUCUUUCUAGUAAUGUACUCUGCACCAACUGCAAGGGCAAGGGCUUUAAGUCUGGUGCUUCCAUGAGGUGCCCAGGUUGCCAGGGUUCAGCCAUGAAAGUGUCUAUCUGCAUCUGGAGCCUUCCAUGAUACAGCAGAUGCAGCAGCCUUGUAAACUCUGGCUGCUAGUAGAGAUGCUCUUGUGGUGGGUUUUGUUAGGUUGUGUAUAUAUGGCCAUGUGAUGGCAACUGCUCUGCCCUGCCUUGACAUGAACUGUUUCUCGACAAGCGAUUCAGGUUAGGAGCUUUGAACUCUUCAAAAUUGCAGGUUGGGCUUGUUGAAUGUUUGCAGACUACAAUGACUGCAUCAUGUUAUGCUAUUCAGCUCUUUUAGUAUUCAUGAGGUCGCGAGAACAAACUGAUAGUUGUCUAAAAAAGUCGAGAUCUUGCGCAGCUGUACUGAUUACCAUCGGUACCCGGUAUCUUCCGACUGGUCAUAUUGGCUUGAGUGUUUGAGUUGAGAUAGCCUCAUAAUUUUUUUUGUCAAGGUCAUGAAAUUUUGGAACUCGGCCCUGUUCUGUUGUCGAGAUGAUUUUUCCUGUCAAGCUUGUGAUGAUGCAUAGGUGAUGGAUCCAUGUUUGUUUGGAGUAGCUAAUUCAAACCUGAUGCAACCUGGGUGUCAUUUUGUUGAUUCACCUGUUUGUAAAUAGUAGUAAAUGAGCCACAAUUGCUGCAGUGUUACAUAUGAUUCUGGACAUGAUUUUGUAUUGUUUGAGUCUAUCAAUUUUGCUGGCACUGCUAGUGUUAUUCAUCACCAUGAACAUAUGCAGCAUGUACUGAUAACCAUUGUAUCACGGUAGCUUCCGUUUGGCUCGAGUGGUUUGUGUUCAAAUAGCUUGCUAGUUAUAUUUUUGGCAAUGUAAUGAAAUUUCAGAACUGGGCAUUGUUCUGUUGUGUUGAUUCACUUUGGCCGAUGUGUAGGAGGAUUUACU